rnacentral:rRNA from 1 species
GGGUGAGUAACACGUGGAUAACCUACCUAUAAGACUGGGAUAACUUCGGGAAACCGGAGCUAAUACCGGAUAAUAUAUUGAACCGCAUGGUUCAAUAGUGAAAGACGGUUUUGCUGUCACUUAUAGAUGGAUCCGCGCCGCAUUAGCUAGUUGGUAAGGUAACGGCUUACCAAGGCAACGAUGCGUAGCCGACAUGAGAGGGUGAUCGGCCACACUGGAACUGAGACACGGUCCAG